CCUACGGGAGGCAGCAGUGAGGAAUAUUGGUCAAUGGACGAGAGUCUGAACCAGCCAAGUAGCGUGAAGGAUGACUGCCCUAUGGGUUGUAAACUUCUUUUAUCAAGGAAUAAAACGAGGCACGUGUGCCUUUUUGCAUGUACUUUAUGAAUAAGGAUCGGCUAACUCCGUGCCAGCAGCCGCGGUAAUACGGAGGAUCCGAGCGUUAUCCGGAUUUAUUGGGUUUAAAGGGUGCGUAGAUGGGUUGUUACGUCAGUUGUGAAAGUUUGGGGCUCAACCGUAAAAUUGCAAUUGAUACUGGCAGUCUUGAGUACAAUUGAGGUAGGCGGAAUGCGCGGUGUAGCGGUGAAAUGCUUAGAUAUCACGAAGAACCCCGAUUGCGAAGGCAGCUUACUAACCUGUGACUGACAUUGAUGCUCGAAAGUGUGGGUAUCGAACAGGAUUAGAUACCCCAGUAGUC
rnacentral:rRNA from 1 species